CCCCUUUCUUUCUUUCAUUCAGAAAGAAAUCACAGAAGCUCAGCCAAAAACCCCUAGCACUGUAGGCCUACACCACCGCCGCAAGGAGUGGCAUAUUGCCGCCGUCCGUUAAGUUCGCCAUCCGUCCGUCCGUCCGUCCAAGUCUUCAACCCCUGUUCGCUGUCACCGAUCGCAGCUGCUUCCUCGAGCUUUGGCGUCCGUCGUCUUUGUCUGCUCAGCCGCGCUUCCGCCGCCGUUUGUUUGCCGUUCACGUUCUCCUCUUCGUUCAGCCGUCGUCUACCUUCGCGUUCUUCGCCGUUCACGUUCGCUCGGCGUUCACCGUUCGCGUUCACUCGCUGUUCACCGUUCGAGUUAGCAUUCGCGUUCGUCUGGAAGCCACGUUGCACUGCUUCAAACUCUGCGCCGAACUGCAUUCGCGUUCGUCGAACUGCUCUCUUUUGUCGCCGCCACAUGGAAGACAGCAGCAGCAAUGGUGGUAGCGGGAAACGUGAGGAAAUUGUGGACGUUGGGUCGGUCGUUGAAGCUGUUACUGCAGAGGAAGGUGAUGCUCCCCUCUACAACGUUGAGAGCCUCUGCAUGCGUUGCGGUGAAAAUGGGAUUACAAGAUUCUUACUCACCUUAAUUCCUCACUUCAGAAAGAUUUUGUUGUCAGCUUUUGAGUGUCCUCAUUGUGGUGAGAGGAACAAUGAAGUACAGUUUGCUGGAGAAAUUCAACCGCGUGGUUGCUCUUACACUCUGCAGAUCCCAUCUGACAAUCCAAAGAUGCUUGACAGACAAGUGGUAAAAUCAGAAUCUGCUACAAUUAAGAUUCCAGAAUUGGAUUUUGAGAUUCCACCAGAGGCUCAGCGUGGUAGUCUUUCAACGGUGGAAGGCAUACUAAUGCGAGCUGCUGAUGAGCUUCAGGCCCUUCAAGAGGAGCGCAGGAAAGUGUCUCCAGAGACAGCUGAAGCCAUUGAUCAGUUCUUGGUGAAAUUGCGAGCCUGUGCUACUGGAGAGUCAGCUUUCACAUUUAUUCUUGAUGAUCCUGCUGGAAACAGCUUUGUUGAAAAUCCGUUUGCGCCAUCAUCUGAUCCAUCAUUGACUAUCAAGUUUUAUGACCGAACACCUGAGCAACAAGCAUUGUUGGGAUAUCUUGUUGAUUCUACACAGAUUGAAGGAACUCGCAACGAAGCACAAGCAGGGGGAAAUGCUGUGGUUACUGAUCAAGUGAGGGGAGAGCCACAUGGAUCUGUGGGGGCAACUGCUGGUCAUCGAGCCAUUGCACAGAGUAAUAGUUCAGAAAUUGCGGAAGCCUUAUUUCGAUACACUGCACCGGAAGAGGUGAUGACUUUCCCUUCAACUUGUGGUGCAUGUGCCACUAAGUGUGAGACUAGAAUGUUUGUCACCAAUAUUCCAUACUUUCAAGAAGUAAUCGUAAUGGCAUCCACAUGUGACUCUUGUGGCUACCGCAACUCCGAGUUAAAACCAGGUGGACGAAUUUCUGAAAAAGGCAAAAGAAUUUCACUUCAUGUGAAAAAUGUUAACGACUUAAAUCGCGAUGUAAUCAAGUCUGAUACUGCAAGUGUAAAAAUUCCUGAACUUGAAUUGGAAUUGGCAAGUGGCACCCUUGGGGGUUUGGUUUCAACUGUUGAAGGUUUGAUUACAAAAAUUAACGAAAGCCUUCAGAGGGUCCAUGGAUUUACUUUCGGUGAUAGUUUGGAUGUUUAUAAAAUAGGAAUAAUUUUCUCGUAGCAUAUAUUCUCGCAGAGUAACAGUUGCUUUCCUCAUUCCUCUCAUGGUGGAGCACAAAACUUGCUAUUUUCUGUUCCCAGGGAACAAGCAUUCUACUUUUGAGCUCCAACAGAGUUCAGAUGCUUUCUAAAAUAUCAGUGCUUAAUAAGCAGUUGCUGUCAUACAAUCAGUAGAUUCCUAUCCUUGAAGGACUUUUACCUAAUGGCAUCUUUUUGUUUAUAUUUUUGUGUGUGCAGCUUCUUAGCUUGGAAAAACCUUGGACUUUAAUUCUUGAUGAUGCAUUAGCCAAUUCCUUUAUAGCACCUGCAACUGAUGAUUUAAAAGACGACAAUCAAUUAACGUUUGAGGAGUAUGAGAGGUCAUGGGAGCAAAAUGAAGAAUUAGGCUUGAAUGAUAUGGAUACUUCUGCUGCCGAUGUUGCUUACGAAUCAGCAAAUAAUACUAAAGUUGAAUGAACACUGUAAACCGCCUCCUCUCCUCUCGUCCUGGUGGCUGCCGGAACCACCCUAAUUAAUUGAAGAGGAGAUGGAAGAAUUGAUGUGCCAGAUGAAGAAAACCAAAAAAGGAAGAAAAAUUGGUUCUUUGAUCCUCAUGUACUAGCGCUUUUUUAUUAUUUUUUUUUUUGAAAAAAAAAUGCAUGCAAUCUUGCUAUUUUUCAUACUUUUGAUAUAAUGUUUUGAGAGAUAACCUUUAUAUAAAUUUGGUAAGCAUUUCUGGUGUUGUUUUAAGAGUUUAAUUUUGAUGUAGUGACUUUAAAAUGUUUUAGGAUCAUGUAAUUAUAUCUAGUUAUUUUUUUAUGAUUGUUCACGCGGUCAAUAUAAAAAGAAGUUCUUUUUGUUGAGGUGACGUUA